UGCCAGGACAUUUUACAGGCUACUACCUUGGUCUUAAGUAGUCUUCCUUCAAACUCUGCUACCUUAUGACACCUUCCUAAACCUUUCUUUGCUCCCAACUCUGAGGGCAAAACUGUCACUUCUUACUUCCUCUGCCAAACUCUGGGCAGCAUCCACAAUGCCCAGUCAUCAUUCUUGAAUAGACUGAUGCUGAGGGAGUGGAUGGGUAGACUCAUAAAGUCAUAAAGAGGGGCUACGUGCAGCCCAAAGGUAGAAUGAUCGACAAGCAUGCCAAAGACCCUGGGCUCAAAUAUCAGCACCAAUAGGAGAAGAAAAUAAUGUCACAGAAGAUUAAUUACAUAAAAAAAUAUAAAAGCACAUUUAUGCAA
rnacentral:lncRNA from 14 species